rnacentral:rRNA from 1 species
AGUGAACGCUGGCGGUAGGCCUAACACAUGCAAGUCGAACGGCAGCACAGUAAGAGCUUGCUCUUACGGGUGGCGAGUGGCGGACGGGUGAGGAAUACAUCGGAAUCUACUUUUUCGUGGGGGAUAACGUAGGGAAACUUACGCUAAUACCGCAUACGACCUACGGGUGAAAGCAGGGGAUCUUCGGACCUUGCGCGAUUGAAUGAGCCGAUGUCGGAUUAGCUAGUUGGCGGGGUAAAGGCCCACCAAGGCGACGAUCCGUAGCUGGUCUGAGAGGAUGAUCAGCCACACUGGAACUGAGACACGGUCCAGACUCCGACGGGAGGCAGCAGUGGGGAAUAUUGGACAAUGGCGCAAGCCUGAUCCAGCCAUACCGCGUGGGUGAAGAAGGCCUUCGGGUUGUAAAGCCCUUUUGUUGGGAAAGAAAAGCAGCAGGUUAAUACCCCGCUGUUCUGACGGUACCCAAAGAAUAAGCACCGGCUAACUUCGUG